UCAGUUUGAUUCUAGCUGAAAAUUUAGCUGUUAUGAACCAAUAUACAUGUAAGCCCCCGCUAUCCCGCAAAAAACGCAAACCUAAAUGAGCAUAAAUUUACAUCAAGAAAACUAUACGUAAAAGUGCGCCACAGUAAUUAAUACUAGUGAUUCUGCAAAAGCAAGAACUGGAUAUCAGAUUAAGAGUUGGCAAAACUCGUGCCAGCUGCCGCGGUUAGACGACGAACUCAAGCUAAUUUAUAAUUGACUAAAUGUAAGGUGGGUUAAACAGCACCCAAGGUCUAAUUUAUAAAACCUGAGAUUCAUACCCACCUAAAUGAUCAUGAAACCAUAAAUUAAAACACGGAUUAGAUACCCGUUUAUUCAUGGAAUAAAUAAUAGUCGAAAAAUACGAACAACAGUUUAAAACUUAAAGACUUUGGCGGUGUCUUAUCGAACCAGGGGAACCUGUCUCAUAACUCGAUAAUCCACGAUCACCCUACCUUCUCUAGAUUAGACCAGCUUGUGUACUGCCGUCGUAAGCACACCUCUAAAAGUAGCAAGUAUGCAAUUAUGACGAUACUCAUUUACGUCAGGUCAAAGUGCAGCUCAUGAGAAGGUGAUGAUGGGUUACAUCCUAAAUAAAGAUACGAAAUACGACAUUAAAAGUCAUAUAAAGGUGGACUUGGACGUAAUAAUAAUACCGCAUCAUAAUGAAAACGAAUCUAAGACAUGCACACAUCGCCCGUCACUCUUGCCCAAAGGCGAGAUAAGUCGUAACAAAGUAGGUGUAACGGAAGUUGCACCUGU
rnacentral:ncRNA from 1 species